AGAGUUUGAUCAUGGCUCAGGACGAACGCUGGCGGCGCGCUUAACACAUGCAAGUCGAGCGAGAACCAGGGCUUCGGCCCCGGGGACAGCGGCGAACGGGUGAGUAACACGUGGGUAAUCUGCCCUCGGUACUGGGAUAGCCCGGGGAAACCCGGAUUAAUACUGGAUGGCCCUUCGAGUUUUCGAAUUCGAAGGAAAAGGUAGCUUCGGCCUCCGACCGAGGAUGAGCCCGCGGCGGAUUAGCUUGUUGGUGGGGUAACGGCCUACCAAGGCGACGAUCCGUAGCUGGUCUGAGAGGAUGAUCAGCCACAUUGGGACUGAGACACGGCCCAAACUCCUACGGGAGGCAGCAGUGGGGAAUAUUGGACAAUGGGCGCAAGCCUGAUCCAGCCAUGCCGCGUGAGUGAUGAAGGCCUUAGGGUUGUAAAGCUCUUUCACCGGUGAAGAUAAUGACGGUAACCGGAGAAGAAGCCCCGGCUAACUUCGUGCCAGCAGCCGCGGUAAUAC
rnacentral:rRNA from 1 species